rnacentral:lncRNA from 1 species
CAAGUUCUCCUUGACCUAACCGAGUAAGCCAUGGACUUGUCAGCUGCGACCUUAAUUCUUCGGUAACGUUGGAGGAUCUCUCUGGGAGAAGAUGAUGAGAUAGGAUUUUGAGCAUUUAUGUUGGUCAGAGCCCGAAGGAACCUGGUGGUGAACCUGGAUUUUAGAGAACUAGGGUUCAGGUGAUGAGGGCUCAUGGGGGAUGAGAUGAAAGUAAACUAGGGUUAUUUUUUGUGGGAUAUGAAGAUGGAUAAGAGUUAUAACUAACUGUCGUGGGCUUUGCCUUUUUUGGAUGGAUCAGAGGGACAAAUAUGAGUUUGGUGUGGGA